rnacentral:lncRNA from 1 species
UGCAAAGCAAGUCUCCAGUUUUUUCUUAUAUUUGCUAUAUAUUAUCUAAGUAAACAUUUCUGUAAGAAAAUCAAGGAGUAGGUGUGAGCUGAGCCAACAGACUCUUACCAUACCUCCUCUUUGCACGAGAGAGGCUUGGCUAACAGAUGGAGGUUGUAGGAAAAGGAUUUCUAAUCUUUUCCUGGUACAAGACUAUAUGGAAACAGAAUCAACCAGUGGGCAAGCUUUUUCUGUAUUGAAAUCAUGAGAUUUUGUGGUUGAGUGUUGUUGUAUUUGUAAUUCAUCCAAGACAAUUGGAAUUUGAAAAAAAUAAUUGAUAAAUAUAAAAAUAGACCUAUAGAAAUUCUAUUUGUCUUCAUGGGACAGGAAGAAAUGCAGGUGCAAACACAUGGCUCAUGCCAUUACUCUCCAUUUCUCUUCAUUAAUUCUGGCUUCCUUUAUAUCCAGCUCUUCUAGUUUCAUGAGUUUAUGUCUUCUAGAAUCAAAGAACUUUCUCUCUCCAUUCUACAGUUAGAUUUUCCUAAUACAGGAAAUCAGAAGGGCUCUUAGUUUAAUUUCUGAGACAGUGUAGACAGGAAGCUCUUCAGAAUGUGUGCAUUAGUCAUAGUGGUAUAAGAUCAGGAUCCAUCUGCUCCACAAUGGAAAUUAUUUGCCACCCAUAGCAGGUGAAGCUAUUGGGAGAGGGUUCUUGUACUCCUGCAUACAGCUAUGGCAAUUUACAACUUUAAAUAGAGAGGAGAACUCUGCAGACAAUUUCCUGUAUUAGCUUGAUGCAUACGACAAGUAUUUGAUGUUCAAGUAUUUGAUGCUUUGUAUUAGAGCCAUAGAUAAUAGGCUUUUUAUUACAGAUACAGGUAGUAGGAGUGCAAAUAAGAACAGAUAAACAUUAAUUUAGGGUAGGGUAGAUUCUAGCUGCAUAAUAUUCUAUUUUGAACUCAUUGUUUUCCAAGACCUAACUUAUUUUGCAAUAAUUUUUCAUUUACUGAACUUAAAUAUUUAUCAUGGAGAUUGGAGUGAGAGAAGGUGCAGGAAUGAAGGGAGCUGGAGCUCAACCUGGUUCUUAGCGCCUACAUUAGGCAGCUCCAAACCACCUCUAAUUGGAGUUUAAAAGGACCAGAUACCCUUUUAAGGCCUCCAGAGGCAUCUAUACAGUGCAUACACACACACACGCACACGCACACGCACACGCACACGCACACGCACACGCACACGCACACGCACACGCACACGCACACACACACACACAUGCAGAGAGAGAUAGACAGACAGACAGACAGACAGACAGAUAGACACAUAUACAGACAAAAAUAAAACUAAAAAGAAAUGUUUACCAAAAUUUAGUAAUUACCAUAUGAAAGGGAAAAUUUCAUAUAAAAUAAUCAAACUUGACACUUUCCUUUGCUCAUUUUUAAUGUAUGGAUAUUCACAAAGGCAAGAGAUCAUGUGGUCAGAUUAGGAUAGGAGACAUACAGAACUUGCUUACUUUGAUCUUCAAUGGAAAUAAUUAAAUUACUGAUCAAUUAAACAGAAGUAAACACAUUGUUCCAAAGUUUAUUCUUAUAGCUAUUAUGUUACCUAUGAGGCUUAGGUUGGGCCAAUUUUGAAAUAUCCUUUAUUGUUCUUGAUGAAGAAUUACAUUAAAAUUUAUGUGUGAGCUUUUUAUGCUGAAUGAAAAUAUCCUGAAAAUGUAUUUACAUAUAAUGAAUAUUCAUUUUUCUCAAUUCUUUCCAUCACAUGGGUCACAAAUAACACUUUUCUUUUAUUUAUGCUCUUUGUUGUGAGAUAUCCUCCAUGCCUUGAAGAAUAUUGUAAUGAAUAUAACCAUAGUCCAAACCAGCGUUAGAAACCUAUUUAUUUUGGUAUUAUUUAAUUAAAUUGCUUUAGGUAAGUUAUACAACCUAAGCCAUACAAGAAUUAAGGAAGAUGACAUUUUUUAAAGGCUACCAUUGUUAACUAAUGAGUUUCAAUUAUAUAAAACAAAUAUGUUUGUAAGAAAAUUUUCAUUAAACAUGAUUAGUGUGCAAUCACAUGAUACUACACAUGGAAGUCUAAAAUAUACAAUGAUCUUCCAGAGAAUAGGGCAUCCAUCAUUUACCAUCAAGAUAUUUUCACAGGUCAAUUGAAAUAGCUUAGCUCUUUAAACUCAUUAGUUCUAACCAGGCAUGGUGACUCAUACCUGUACUACCAGUAGUUGGUAAACUGAGCAGGUUGAGCACAAGUUUGAAGCCACCCUAGGCUACAUAGCAAUAGGCUGUCUCUUGGGAAAAAAAUACAUGAAGAAAAGAAAAGUAGGGAAAAAAUGAGAAGAUG